rnacentral:rRNA from 1 species
GAUGAACGCUGGCGGCGUGCCUAAUACAUGCAAGUCGAGCGAACGGACGAGAAGCUUGCUUCUCUGAUGUUAGCGGCGGACGGGUGAGUAACACGUGGAUAACCUACCUAUAAGACUGGGAUAACUUCGGGAAACCGGAGCUAAUACCGGAUAAUAUUUUGAACCGCAUGGUUCAAAAGUGAAAGACGGUCUUGCUGUCACUUAUAGAUGGAUCCGCGCUGCAUUAGCUAGUUGGUAAGGUAACGGCUUACCAAGGCAACGAUGCAUAGCCGACCUGAGAGGGUGAUCGGCCACACUAGAACUGAGACACGGUCCAGACUCCUACGGGAGGCAGCAGUAGGGAAUCUUCCGCAAUGGGCGAAAGCCUGACGGAGCAACGCCGCAUGAGUGAUGAAGGUCUUCGGAUCGUAAAACUCUGUUAUUAGGGAAGAACAUAUGUGUAAGUAACUGUGCACAUCUUGACGGUACCUAAUCAGAAAGCCACGGCUAACUACGUG